rnacentral:sRNA from 1 species
GAGCCACAGAGCGAUGGGAGAGGGAGGGGCCACGCACUCUCAAACACGCAGGUCUUGUGAGAACUCACUCACUAGCACGAGAACAGCAAGGGGAAAAUCCACCCCUGUGAUGCAGUCACCUCCCACCAGGUCGCUCCUCCAACAGCAGGGAUCACAAUUCAACAUGAGAUUUGGGUGGGGACACAGAUCCAAACCAUAUCAUUCCUCCCUGACCCCUCCCAAAUCUUACGUCCUUUUUACAUUGCAAAAUACAAUCCUACUUCCCAACAGUCCCCCAAGUCUUCACUCAUUUCAGCAUUAAUUCAGAAGUCCACAGUCCAAAGUCUCGUCUGAGACAAGGCAAGUCCUUUUCACCUAUGAGCCUGUAAAAUCAAAGACAAGUUACUUCCCAGAUACAGUGGGGGUGCAGGCAUUGGGUAAAUACACCAGUGCCAAAAGAGAGGCGCCAGCCAAAACAAAGGGGCUGCGAGCCCCAGGCAGGUCCAAAACCUAGCAAGGCAGUCACUGAAUUGUUUUUUGGUUUCUUCUUUUUUGGUUUUUUUUUUUUUUUUUUUUUUGAGACGGGGUCUUGCUCUGAUGCCCAGGCUGGAGUGCAGUGGCGUGAUCUCAGCUUACUAUAGCCUCUGCCUGCAAGCAAUUCUCCUACCUCAGCCUCCCUAAGUAGCUGGGACUAUAGGCAUGCACCACCACACCCAGCUAAUUUUUGUAUUUUUUAGUAGAGAUGGGGUUUUGCCAUGUUGUCCAGGCUGGUCUUGAACUCCUGACCUCAAGUGAUCCACCUGCCUCAGAUUCCCAAAAUGCUGGAAUUACAGGCGUGAGCAACCCCACGCAGCCCGAUAAAUCUUAAAGCCCCAAAAUAAUCUCCUAAGACCCAUGUCUCACAUCCAGGCUACACUGAUGCAUGGAGGUGGCUCCCAAGGCCAUGGGUAUCUCUGCCCCUGUGCCUCUGUAGGGUACAGCCCCCAUGCUGCUUUCAUAGGCUGCUGUUGUGUGCCUGCGACUUUUCUAGGUGCACCACACGGUGCAAGCUGUCGGUGGGUUAUUCUGGGGUCUGGAGAACGGUGGCCCUCUUCUCACAGCUGCAGUAGCCAGGGCCCCACUGGGGACUCUGUGUGGGGGCUCCAACUCCAUCUUUCUCCUCUUCACUGCCCUGGAGCAGUGGCCUGAGCUCUAUCUGGAGCCCUUUUAGCCCCAGAGCAACAGGGAUGCAGGGCCAGUGUCCCUCAGGGCAGUGGCCCACAAAACCAUUCUUCCCUCCGAGGCCUCCAGGCCUAUGAUGGGAGGCACUUCCAUGAAGGUCUCUGACACACCUGGAGACAUUUUCCUCAUUGUCUUGGCGAUUAAUAUUCAGCUCCUCUUUACUUACGCACAUUUCUGCAGCCAGCUUGAAUUCCUCCCCAGAAAAUUGUUUGUUUGUUUGUUUUCUACCAUGUGAUCAGGCUGCAAAUUUUCCAAAUUUUAUGUUCUGCUUACCUUUUAAAUCUAAGUUCCGGUUUCAGGUCAUCUCUUUGCUCAUGCUUAACAAAAGCAAUCUUUGCUCCAGUUCCCAAUAAGUUCCUUGUCUCCCUCUGAGUCUACCUCAGCCUGGACUUCAUUGUCCAUAUCGCUAUUAGCAUUUUGGUCACAACAAUUUAACAAGUCUUUAGGAAGUUCCAAACUUUCCCUCAUCUUCCUGUCUUCUUCCGAGCUCUCCAAAUCGUUCCAGCCUCUGCCUGUUACCCAGUUCCAAAGCUGCUUCCAGAUUUCCAGAUGUCUUAACAGCAGUGCCCCACUUCCCUGUACCAGUUUUCUGUGUUAGUCCAGUCUUGCAUUGCUAUAAAUGAUGCCAGAUUUUUCUCAGCCACUUUGCCAACCAGGGACCUCCAUGGCUGGUGACACCCCCAACCCAGGCCUGCCACAGAAGGCACCCACACACUCGACCCACUGGGCCAUGCUUGGCUUAUGCACUGGCUCAGCCCACCUGUGUUAUAGCUUAUACCUGCAUUCAUCAGUUCCCAAGUUCUUGUCCCGCGUCCAAGAAGAAUGAGGUUACACUGACAAUUCAAAGGGUGAGGAGAGUGGAGAAGAAUUUUAUUGAGCUGUGAAACAGCUCUCAGCGGAGAGGGUAUGCGAGGCUGCUGAACCGCCCAGAGUUGGGUGUGGCUGGGUCCAGGGCUUUUUUGGGCACAGAAUGGGGAGGGGCAGGUUGUAGGUAGCACUGGAAAAGGUAACCUUUGGUUGGUUAAAAGGCAUUAUUCAGAAAGAACCAGUGGGAAAGAGUGGGCAAACAGGAAUAGAAGUUCUCACUCCAGGCUGCAGGUUUCAGGCUGUUUUUGGCUUGAAGGUGGGAUUUCACCAGGGACCCACCCCUGUCUAUCUGGGCAUUUGACUGCUUCCUGUUGCUUUCAUAAGGAACUACCCAAGAUGGUAAUUUAUAAAGAAAAGAGGUUUAACUGGCUCACAGUUCCACAGGCUAUAAGGAAGCAUGGCUGGGGAGGCCUCAGGAAACUUACAGUCAUGACAGAAGGGGAGGCAGGCAUGUCCCACAUGGUGGAACAGGAGGAAGAGCUCACCUACAGCAAAUUAUUUAAGACCGAGCAUUUGUCUCUGUUCUGUUCCCUCUCUGGAAGCACCCUCCUGCCUCCACCCUGACUUGCCGUCUCCUGAGCACUGAAGAUAUUUUUGGCUUGUCCGAUGUGACUCCACAGACAGCAGAAACGCUUGCUUGAUCAGGGCAGCAUCAGGGCACCACACAUGCCCGGGCUUGCACAACACAGCGGGAGCACUGCCACUCAGCAGCAGCUGCUGCUUUCAUUAAACAGUUACCUUGAGAAGAAAAGAUAGAUGUCGAGGGCUGAGAGCUGUGCUAGAGUUUCAGGGUCCGAGUUGGCAGGAACUGAAGUCCCGACGCUCCUCAGCCUUUGGCUGUCCUCAGGGCUGCCCUCUGCGUGGGGACACCAGGCCGCCCCUGCCCAGGGACACCAGGCCGCCUGCUCCUGCUCUGUGCAUCUCUCACAUCAGGCUCCUCACCCAGCAUUGUUUGGGCUAUGACAGUGGCUGUGAGAAGACCCUAAGACGGGAAGCUGUGUGCAGGGCACUUGAGGGCCCGCUGGGGAGAAGCCGCCUGUGAGGGACAGGACCGGGCAGGGAAGGCCACCAGCCAUGCGGUCACAGCCCAGGACUCCGCCAGUCCUGCAGGAGCCCUGGAGCCAGGCCCUUGCUGUCCAGGCCACUUGCUGUACCUGGCCCACAGCUACCUCCCCUGCAGCCCUGAGUCCUGCUUGCUGUGCCCGGCUCAGGCUGAGACUGCAGUGCUUGUCCAUUCACCAUGAAAGAAAGAAGAACAGGAAGGGAGGCAGGAGGAAGUCAGUUAGAGGAUGAAUCCAAGUGUUCCAGCUGUCCAAUGGGAGUUCCAACAAGAGGACAUGCAGGGAGGAAAUUCACAGUCAAAUUUCCCCAAACCAAAGGUCAUGAGUUUUCAGAUUGAAAGAACACCCAACCAAGAGGAGAGAAAACAGCAUUCUAAAUAUCGGAAGGAAACGAAACCUCGCCUCAGGCAUGCGGGCUCUGACGGGCAGGAUGGCGGCACGGAGGGCUGCUGUAUCCAGUGAAGGCAGCAGUUCAGAUGAGACAGAUAACUCCCUUAAAAGACACAAAUUACCAAGACUGACGCAAACCCUGAAACAGACUGAACAGUUCUGAGUUAUCAGUUUAAAACUGCAAAGCAAAUAGCAGGCCCAAAAGGCUUCACUGAUAAAUUAUCUCAAACAUUGAAGGCAAAAAAUAAAACCAGACACAGCAAAGUAAGUCUCUGACGAAACAGAGUGGGGAGGAACACUUCCUAACUCCCCGUAUGGGACCAGCACUACCCUGAAAUCAAAACCAGACAAGAAAACGAGAGGACAGUGUUCCCAAUGGGCAGACACACAAAAUCCUUAACAAAACGUUAGCAAAUUAAAUCCAGUUGAUGCACAAAAAGACAACACGUCAUGAUCAAGCAGCAUUUAAGCCAGGAAUAGAGGGUUACUUUCAUAUUCAAAAAUCAGUCUGUGUAAUUCACCGGUUUUGUUUUUUUUUUUUUUGGAUGGAGUCUCGCUCUGUUGCCCAGGCUGGAGUGCAGUGGCACGAUCUCUGCUCACUGCAACCUCCACCUCCCGGGUUCAAGUGAUUCUCCUGCCUCAGCCUCCUGAGUAGCUGGGAUUACAGGUGCGCACCACCAUGCACAGCUAAUUUUUGUAUUUUUAUUAGAGACGGGGUUUCACCGUGUUGGCCAAGCUGGUCUCGAACUCCUGACUUCAAGUAAUCCGCCCGCCUCGGCCUCCCAAAGUCCUGGAAUUACAAGCUGGUAAUUCACCAUAUUUACAGAAUGAAGAAGAAAAAUCAUAUCAUUUCAAUAGAUACAGAAAAAGCAUUUGCAAAUGCCAAAACCCUUUUAUAACAAGCACUCUUAGCAAACUAGGAGAAGAAGGAAAAUCCUUGAACCUGAUGAGGGAGUCUCUCAAAAGCUACCAGAUGGCAUCCUGCUCGAUGGGGAGCUGCUGGGCGUUUUCCUCCUGUGACCUGGAAGGGGCGCCUGCCCUCACCACUGCCACCCAGUCUCAUUCAACACAGAGUUUGUCCUCUGUUAGAAGCCGAGACGUUGGUUACAUGUGGAGGUUGGGAGUGGCUCAGGCAGGCAGAGGGGCUUCUGGGAACCUGGCCAUGUUCCCUUUCAGUCUGGGCGCUACUUAGAGCAGGGGGCAGUUGCUUCAAUAAAACUUUAGAUUCCCACACAGGCCAGGCGUGGUGCUCACACCUGUAAUCCCAGCACUUUGGGAGGCCGAGGUGGGCAGAUCACCUGAUAUCAGGAGUUGGAGACCAUCCUGGCCAACAUGGUGAAACCCCGUCUCUAUUAAAAAUACAAAAAUUAGCCAGGCAUGGUGGUAUGCGCCUGUAGUCCCAGCUAGUUAGGAGGCUGAGGCAGGAGAAUCGCUUGAACCCGGGAGGCGGAGGUUGCGGCGAGCCGAGACUGCACCACUGCAAUCCAGCCUGGGCGACAGGGCAAGCCUCUGUCUCAAAAGAAAAAAAAUUCUACACAUCCCUCACCACACUGUACAUAGGACAGCUGGGUGUAAAUUACAUCUCCAUUUAAAUGCCUGUCAUAGUUUUAUACAACUAUAAAAUAUAUACGUGCCAAAAUAAAUUUGAUAGGAACAUUGGAACCAGGUAAGGUGACACAUGCCUGUAGCACUUCGGGAGGAUCCCUUGAGCCCAGGAAGUCGAGGCUUCAGUGAGCCAUGACUGCACCACUGCACUCCGGCCCAGGCAACAGUGAGAUCCUGUCCUAGAAAGAAAAGAGAAAAAAAGAAAAAUGCGAUUUGGAAAUGUGGAGGUCGAGAUUGAGAGCGACACGGAGGUCGAAGCCAGUUGCCCCUGGAGAGCGGGAGACUGGGCUGGGCCGACUCCCACCUCUGCCUCGAGAGGCCUACGGGCAGGGGCAGGUGGGCAGGGGGCCUGUGCUGGGUCUCUGGCUGCGUCUGGACGGCAGGCGACACUUUCUCCACAAAAAGCGUCAAGAAACCACGACACUUGGUUUCUGGACUUUUCUGCGGAACAAUAACCUGAACAAUCUCCAUCAAGUUCGUUUCUGACACGGCUCAGUGCAGCCUGGACGCCCUGGACCAGCCCCUCCUGCGCCUGGGCCACGGCCGCUGCCUUCAGGGCAUCACUGGUGGGCGGCACAACCAUCCUCCCUUUGGGGGGUUAAUUUCAUUUCUUUCCUCCCUUCUUUAAUGGUGAAUGGAGGAGCACCGAGCACCACUGCAGUCUCAGUUUCAGAUCCCAGCGCCUCGUCCCUGCCCACUGCCCUCGGCCCCGCCCGCCUGCAUUGGCACUGCCCUGGCCCCACCCACCCGUGUCAGCACCGCCCACCGCCCUGGCACCACCCACCGAGUUCUCGCCCAUGAGGAAGGGGGACCCUGAGUGGAGGUGUCAAACCUUAGGGGCCGUCCCUGCCGUGCAGGGCUCUGUGAGGCCUCUUGCCACAUAGGCUUGUGUCUGCAGGACUGUGCGGCAUUUACUCCCAUCUCAAAUACCCCAUACGGGGCAGACUGCCCCUGCCCCACCUGCCCACCCACUCCCCAGCCCCUUCCGCACGCCUCCUCUGGAAGGGGAACGGGCCACAGAGUGACAUGGGGCCUUCCAGCUCCAGUGCGGGGACUUGGAAGGCCUGGCCCGGUGUGGGGGCCCCUCUGCCCUGCAGGCCACUCUGUGCAGGCCUAUCCUCAGGUGUGCCCUCGCCCAAGGCCUGCACGCACCAUGGCUUCUGUGGUACCAGUGAUAACACCAUGCCGGGCACCUCCUGCAGUCACCACCCCUGGGCUGCUAGGGCAGAGACAGCUGCGGUCGCCCGGUGCACCUGCCUGGCCUCAGGAUGGCCGAGGCACCUGGCAAGGCUGCAGGGUCCCAGGGGCACCUGUCCGUACUGCUGGGCGCCUGAGUUCCUCCCGCUGGGCACUGUCAGGGCAGCGCACCUCAGGCUGUGCUUGUCUCUGCAGAGAUGUCCUGGCCCCGUACGCGGUGCCCUCGGAGCUGGUGCUGGUGGAGGAGAUCCCGCGGAACCAGAUGGGCAAGAUUGACAAGAAGGCGCUCAUCAGGCACUUCCACCCCUCAUGACCCGGCAGACUGGGACUGCAGUUCUGGUGGGGAGCAGCAGACGUCCCCUUCACACCGAGAACCGCGGGGGCCCAUCCAAGACCUGGCCUCCCUUAAACCUGAACCCCCCAAAUCAGGUCACGUAGAAUCAAGAACUGUUUGGGAUGAAAUCACCAUGUGGUGUCCCCAGCCUCGGGCCAGUUGUUGCAGCUCAAGGAGACCGUCCCUGGUGUCACCUCUGUGUGGUCACCGCCGACCUCAUCUGUGCAGCACAGUGCAGCCAGCCCCUGGCCCCACGUGCUGAGGCACCUCCCACCCCAUAGUGCCCUGCAGUUGCCAGGCUCUCCAGGGCAGGUCCCGGAGGUGUCCCGCAAAAAACAAAGACUCCACUGGAGGAAAC